GACCCCGCACAAGCGGCGGAGCAUGCGGCUUAAUUCGAUGAUACCCGUAGAACCUUACCUGGACUUGACAUAUAGGGUCAAGCUAUAGAGAUAUAGUGUGCAUUAGCGCCCUAUACAGGUGGUGCAUGGCUGUCGUCAGCUCGUGUCGUGAGAUGUUGGGUUAAGUCCCGCAACGAGCGCAACCCCCUGUCCUAUGUUGCCAGCAUUUAGUUGGGGACUCAUAGGAGACUGCCGUGAUAAACCGGAGGAAGGUGGGACGACGUCAAGUCAUCAUGCCCCUUAUGUCCAGGGCUGCACGCAUGCUACAAUGGCAAGUACAACGAGUCGCAAUACCGCGAGGUGGAGCAAAUCUCUUAAAGCUUGUCUC
rnacentral:rRNA from 1 species